ensembl:miRNA
GGCCCCUGCGUGGGUGCGGGGGUGUGAGUGUGUGUGUGUGAGUGUGUGUCGCUCGGGUCCACGCUCAUGCACACACCCACACGCCCGCACUCCGG